CCUAGCUCUAAGGAGACUCUCACGAAUUGUGAGCUGAUAACUGAAUGUGGACAUGUUUCCCACAGAUCCUUCAUCACUCCCUGCUACCUGGGACCCUCCGUCUCUGCCACCUUCUCCCUGCUCCAUGGUGCUCAGCCUGAGAGAAGGAGCUGCCCAGAAGUCUCUAUAGCCUCUGCUCCACAUGCCUCCCCCAAGGACACCAGCCUGCAGGCCCCUGUUGCUCCUCUGUCUAGUCCUUGAUGUCCCAUGGCUGAGUCUGCACUCAUCAUCCUGAGCAGGGUCAUGGGACCUGCCUCUGGGCAGAACUCAUGACACUUCCCAGAAUGUGACAAGCAAGCCCCACCUGACCACGUCAGGAUGGCUCUCUUCCAUUGCCUUGGGCUUGGCCAUCAAGCACCCACAAGUCCUCGCUCUCAAGAGUCAUUCAGCCAUCUUUUUCCUGCCUACCCCUCCUCCCCAGCCUUGUUGAGGUUCUCACAUGAAACUCAUUCUGGUUUAAUAAGGAAAAUUUAUUUUCUUUCCUCUUUACAAAAGUUUCCUCAAACCCAGAAAAAAAAAAAAGUUCUUCUUAAUCCGAUUGAUUUUCUCCCUCAGCACUUAUGAACAACACUAUUGUCCUGGAUAAAGGCAGUCACCACUCUCCAUGAAGAGCAGGAUUGUAAAAAGGACCAUGGAAACUGAAACCCUGGGAAGCCAUCUCCACAGUGGUCAUGAAAGAUAAUGAUUUUCUUCCACCUUUGCAGGACUUGUCAAAAUUUUUUAAAAACCUAAAAUAUCAGUCAAUUUUCAUCUUAACGGUACAGGGAAAUGAAAACAAUAAUAAAAUGAGUGCUUAGUGCACAGUGAUUUGAAACAUUGAACACUGAGCAUUAGAGUUUUAUUGCUUUGUAAAAACUUAUCCAGGGAGUUUCCACCAUGUCAGCCUGGUUCUCUUUAAUUGAAGAUGUGAAGCAAGCUUUUGGGCACCACCACCCUUUGGGCACCACCACCCUUUGGGCACCACAACUCCCCUCAUGUAGGUGGGUAACAUCACCUUCACUGGGUUCCUCUGUCUGCCAAAGGCAAGUCCCCAUGUGGGAAAUGAGUCCACACACCAAGGACAGCUACUUCUACACUGAUUCCGCCUGUGUCCAGUUUAAUCUCACUUCCAGCAUUUCCACGUGUCCUGUCCUCACUGCACUUGCAUCUCUGUUGCUUAUUCUUUAAAUAUAGACUGGACCCAAGAGGGAUUGAGAGUAGACACCAGGAAAUCCUUAGAAGCAAAUGAGAACAGAGACACAGCAUAUCUAACUCUCUGGGACACUAUGAAAGUAGUUCUGAGAGUAAAAUCUACAGCUCUGAGUGCCUACCUUAAAAAAAUAAAGGGAUCUCAAAUAAAUCGGCUUAUGCUGUACCUCAUAUCCUCAGAAAAAGAAUAACUGAUCCCAAAAAACAGGAGGAGAUAGGAAAUAUUAGAAUAAUAUUAGAGCCAAAAUUAAUGAAACUGAAAAUGAAAAACAAAGAACAAAUUCAUCCACAGAACAAAUCAGAAAAACCACCCAUUCACAAAACUUCAAGAAAAAGAAAGAAAGAAAGAAAAAGGGUCAUGAGAACUAAUCUAGCCAAUGAGGUAAAAGAGCUCUACCAUGAAAAUUACAGAACACUGAAGAAGGAAAUUGAAGAAAACCUUAGAAGAUAGAAAGACAUCCCAUGUUCUUUCCUAGGCAGAACUGAUAUCUCAAAAUGGCCAUACUACCAAAAGUAAUAUGCAGAUUCAGUGGAAUCCCCAUCAAAAUGCCAAUAUCAUUCUUCACAGAAUUGGAAAAAAAAAGUCUUAAAUGCAUUUGGAAGAAUAAGUCUCAGAAUAUCCAAAGCACUACAGAGCAAGAAAAAUGAUGCUGGGGGCAUCAGAGUGCCUGAAUUUAAAUUAUACUACAGAGCUGCAGUAACAAAAACAGCAUGGCAUUGGCACGAAAUAGACAUGAAGACCAAUGGAAAAGAAUACAAGGCACAGAGACAAACCCACAUGCUCACAGCCAUCUGACAUUUGACAAAAUACAUUUCGUAAAAAACCCUCUUUACCAAAUGGUGCUGGGAAAACUGGAUAGCUGCCUAUAUGUAGGAAAAUGAAACCAGAUCCAUACCUGUCACCUUGUAUAAAAGUCACAUAAAAAUGAAUCAAAGACACAGGAAUUAGUCCAGAAAGCUUACAACCACUAGGGAAAAAAAAAACACAUAGGGCCAACAUUCCAUGAUGUAGAUCCUGGUGACAACUUCCUUAACAAAACCCCCCAAAGUGCAAGAAAGAAAACCAAGAAUCAAUAAGGAGGGAUUCCAUCAGUUAAAAUCUUGUGCACAGCAAAGGAAAUGAUGAAGGGAACGAAGAAAGACUGUACAGAAUGGGAGAGAAUCUUUGCCAGCCACUUCCCCAACAGGAGAUUAAUAUUCAGAAUAUGUAAAGACCUCAAAUACAUUCAAUCUAAAUCACAAUAAAAAUAGUAGCCCAAUCAACAAAUGGUCCAAAAAAUCAAACAGAAACAUUAAAAGAAACACAAAUGGCCAAUGUGUAUAUGAAAAAAUGUUGAACAAUGCUUGUCGUCAGGGAAAUAUAAGUCAAUUCUACACUAAGGUAUCAUCUCACUACAGUCAGGUGGCUAAUGCCAAGAGUACAAAUAAUAAUAAGUGUUGGCGAGGAUGUCAGUAAAGUGUAACUCACACAGUGGUGAAGGCCACCACUCAGGAAAGCAGCAUGGAGAGUCCUCAAAUAACUAGGAAGGGAACCACCACGUGACCCCGCCAUCCCACUCCUUGGUGUUUUUCAAAAAGAUCUAAAACCAGCUCAGUGCAGGAGUGCAGCCAC
rnacentral:lncRNA from 1 species